CAGCAGCCGCGGUAAUACCAGCUCUCCGAGUGGUGUGGAUGUUUAUUGGGCCUAAAGCAUCCGUAGCUGGCCAGGUUAGUCCCCUGUUAAAUCCACCGAAUUAAUCGUUGGAUUGCGGGGGAUACUGCUUGGCUAGGGGACGAGAGAGGCAGACGGUAUUUCCGGGGUAGGGGUGAAAUCCUAUAAUCCCGGGAAGACCACCAGUGGCGAAGGCUGUCUGCUAGAACGCGCCCGACGGUGAGGGAUGAAAGCUGGGGGAGCGAACCGGAUUAGAUACCCGGGUAGUCCCAGCUGUAAACGAUGCAGACUAGGUGUUUGGACGGCCACGUGCCGUUCUAGUGCCGCAGGGAAGCUGUUAAGUCUGCCGCCUGGGGAGUACGAUCGCAAGAUUGAAACUCAAAGGAAUUGACGG
rnacentral:rRNA from 1 species